rnacentral:rRNA from 1 species
UCCGUAGGGUGCGAGCGUUGUCCGGAAUUACUGGGCGUAACGGGCUCGUAGGCGGCCAACUAAGUCAGACGUGAAAUCCCUCGGCUUAACCGGGGAACUGCGUCUGAUACUGGAUGGCUUGAGGUUGGGAGAGGGAUGCGGAAUUCCAGGUGUAGCGGUGAAAUGCGUAGAUAUCUGGAGGAACACCGGUGGCGAAGGCGGCAUCCUGGACCAAUUCUGACGCUGAGGAGCGAAAGCCAGGGGAGCAAACGGG